UCCAGGCUUCCUUCCAGCCAGGAUCACGAAGCACGGAAAGCUUCUAGGAAACCUACAUGGUGCGAUUUCCUGCAGGCUCAGCAGCCCGGGUAAAUGCCCAGAGCAAUCGAACCAACAGUCCUUGCUUGGCACGGGGCUCUUCACUCCUGAUCACGCCUGACACCGGAAGCUCCAAGCCCUGGCUUCCCAGGAAGACCAAGUCACGGUGCCACAGAGAGGGUGUUACAGCAGCAGUACUUUCCACACCCAGAAAGAGCUACGAUUCUGCCCACUAAAAAUAACAAUGCUUGUGAAGUUGUAGAGAAAGAACAAACUCCUAAACACUCUGAUACUGAAAACAGUUCAGUUUCCCACUACUCCCUGAGGAGAUCUUUUUCCUGGCUGAGAAAAGGAAGGCUCAGGAUGCUGAAGGACUGGGUCAAGGUUGCUAAGCUCGUUAGAGUUGGAAUCUCUCCGUGGGACUGAAGCCAUGAGGGCAUCCUCAGUCUAAAUCCACACAUGUGCUCAGCCUGCCUCUCAGGCCAGCAACCGUCGAGGCUCCAGUCUAGAGUUAACGAAAGCAGCAGCCCACCUCAGAAUCAUAAAGGGCUCCGUCUUCAUCACCUCCUAUGCAGAGGACCUAGUGUGAAAAAGACCACUGAUUACCUGCUUGUUCCAAGGCGUGGAUCUUGGUCACAAUUUGUUAUAUCUUAAGGUGUGUUGUAACCAACAGGUCCCAGCUUGUGGUCUGACGCUUUCCCUAAGAUAAGAGCUACAUAGAGCCAGCCUUCAAAACAUCGAGUUUCCACUUAUCUGUUGUUGUUGUUGUUGUUCCUUCCUUCGUUCCUUCCUCCUUUCCUCCUCCUCUUCAGUUUUACUUACACCGUUUCAUACCAGCUCUAAUAAGAGGCAGACCACCACCACACCCUGCUUUUUCACUGGAGAAUUUAAUGAGCAAAUUCCUGUUCUCUCAUCCUUGUCACUUAGGAAAUGUUUACUAAAACUGGUUCAAGGAUGGCUGGUAUGGAAACCCACUUAAUCUUCCCAUUGGCUGGCAAUGAAAUUAUAUUAAGCUACUGUGAAUCUUUCCAGUCAUUCAGAAAAGACAAAACUCCAAAAACAUAGUACUCUUAGCUUUGUUUAAGAAAAACGGUUUGAAUAGAAGGGGAAAAAAUGUCACAAAAUGGAUACUCUAAUCCUCAGUUG